UACAGAGGGUGCAAGCGUUGUUCGGAAUUAUUGGGCGUAAAGGGAGUGUAGGCUGUUAAGUAAGUCUUCUGUGAAAUCUACGGGCUUACCCCGUAACGUGCAGAGGAAACUGCUUAGCUUGAGUGUCGGAGAGGAUAGGGGAAUACCCGGUGUAGAGGUGAAAUUCGUAGAGAUCGGGUGGAACACCAGUGGCGAAGGCGCCUAUCUGGCUGACAACUGACGCUGAGACUCGAAAGCAUGGGGAGCAAACGGG
rnacentral:rRNA from 1 species